CCUACGGGGGGCAGCAGUGGGGAAUAUUGGGCAAUGGGCGCAAGCCUGACCCAGCAAUGCCGCGUGAAGGAAGAAGGCUUUCGGGUUGUAAACUUCUUUGACAGGGGAAGAGCAGAAGACGGUACCCUGAAAACAAGCCACGGCUAACUACGUGCCAGCAGCCGCGGUAAUACGUAGGUGGCAAGCGUUGUCCGGAUUUACUGGGUGUAAAGGGCGUGUAGCCGGGUUGACAAGUCAGAUGUGAAAUCCUGCGGCUUAACCGCAGAACUGCAUUUGAAACUGUUGAUCUUGAGUACUGGAGAGGCAGACGGAAUUCCUAGUGUAGCGGUGAAAUGCGUAGAUAUUAGGAGGAACACCAGUGGCGAAGGCGGUCUGCUGGACAGCAACUGACGGUGAGGCGCGAAAGCGUGGGGAGCAAACAGGAUUAGAUACCCCAGUAGUC
rnacentral:rRNA from 1 species